rnacentral:rRNA from 1 species
UACGUAUGGAGCAAGCGUUAUCCGGAUUUACUGGGUGUAAAGGGUGUGUAGGUGGCAGUGCAAGUCAGAUGUGAAAGGCCGGGGCUCAACCCCGGAGCUGCAUUUGAAACUGCGCGGCUAGAGUACAGGAGAGGCAGGCGGAAUUCCUAGUGUAGCGGUGAAAUGCGUAGAUAUUAGGAGGAACACCAGUGGCGAAGGCGGCCUGCUGGACUGUUACUGACACUGAGGCACGAAAGCGUGGGGAGCAAACAGG